rnacentral:rRNA from 1 species
UACGUAGGGGGCGAGCGUUGUCCGGAGUUACUGGGCGUAAAGCGCACGCAGGCGGUCUGUGAAGUUUGGAGUGACAGUUGGUGGCUCAACCACCAAAGUGCUUUGAAAACUGAUAGACUUGAGGGCUUCAGAGGGACACGGAAUUCCGGGUGGAGUGGUGAAAUGCGUAGAGAUCCGGAGGAACACCAAAGGCGAAGGCAGUGUCCUGGGGAGUACCUGACGCUCAGGUGCGAAAGCCAGGGGA